CUGCACCAUUUCCCCCUCCAAAAAGGAGGAGCAGCUCACAAGCUUGGCCUGGGCCAGGGAGGGGAGCAGACAAACAUCUGGACCGACCCCAAACGAGCUGGUUCUGCAGCUGUGCCAACGCUUUGAUCCCUUGCUGCUUGGAUGGGGCGUUUGAAGAAUGAUGCCUGUGCUGAUGUCCAGCCAGGCUUUGGGGAUGAGUCUCCACACCAGGGAGGGCAGGAGGUGAACCUCGUGAACCAAUGCCUGCAGACGGGGUUUGCAGAGAAAGAGGUCCUGCAGGCCUUGUGUGACAGCCACGGAGCUGCAGCGAGGCUGCAUCAGUGUAAAACACCAGAGAUCCACGGAGGUGUGAAGGGGAGCUGUGGGCUGCAGUCACGCAGGAAGGGAUGUGCAUGCUCGGGGUUUGGUUGUUGUGUGUGUGUUCAGUGACUGUGAUACCACUGCUGGG